rnacentral:sRNA from 1 species
AUCACAGGCUAAACACAGCAGAGAUACCAUGUCCAGAACCAAUAAUGCUAAGAAGUCAUGUUCUUGUCAUGAGUUUCAUCGGUAAAGAUGACAUGCCUGCACCACUCUUGAAAAAUGUCCAGUUAUCAGAAUCCAAGGCUCGGGAGUUGUACCUGCAGGUCAUUCAGUACAUGAGAAGAAUGUAUCAGGAUGCCAGACUCGUCCAUGCAGAUCUCAGUGAAUUUAACAUGCUGUACCACGGUGGAGGCGUGUAUAUCAUUGACGUGUCUCAGUCCGUGGAGCACGACCACCCACAUGCCUUGGAGUUCUUGAGAAAGGAUUGCGCCAACGUCAAUGGUGAGGAGAAACGGCAAUUUUCGAGACAGCUCAUUGGUCUGUUUUGGUUUUGUAUUCAGUUAAGCUGUUGGCAUAAAAUUUUCUCACUAAAUUGUUUGGUGCAGUGAUGCUUAAACCAUUUGCUGGGAGAUGGUAUGUAAUUUUAUCUCCUUGUUUCUCUAUA